AUAGGGGUGGUAAAUUACUAUACACACUCGUCACUAAACUCAUCUCGUUCAGAGCAUAUUCUCCCAAGCUAUGCAGUUUGCCAGUCAGAAGGCAGUCCUCAAAACCAUAUCAGUGACAGCCUACUCUUUUUUCACUUGAAAUUGAUCAUGCAUUUGAUUAAGCUAGGCAAAGUACAGCCACCUGCUAGCAGUUCUAGUUUCAGCAGCCAGCACCUGCCACCACCACCAGCCACCAUCAGUGCCGUCGCUAGCUGCCACCACGACCAGGAUAAUUUUACUGCUGUACUGACUGGCUUUCUAAACCACAUUCUACAGUGAAAUGGAUACAUUCAUUACAGAACCCUUGAAGAAGGUUAGAUCAUUGGUCCAUGGGCUAAGUCCACUGGAAGGGAACCCUUCAUAUGGAUCCAGACACAUUGUCUAGAGUUCAAGACAAGGCAGAAGAAUUUGUCUUAGCAGUUAUGGAUUUCACUGAUGUUGCUUGCAUAGGUGAAAUGAUCCUUUCAGAUUUGUAUUCUUAAUUUUAAUGCCACACUUUUUGAAAUUUAAUUUUAUUAUCACACACUAAUGGAAUAGCUGUUGUCAAAUAUAGCUUGCAUCAUAUGUCUGUAGUUUAGUGUUUCACACAGAAGCAAAUAGCCAAGGCUGCUCACAUACUAUUAGGCCUAGACACACACAUCGCCGCCAUAGCCUCUGGUGUUUCGGGGACACAGUUUUAUGUUCAUAACGAAACCAAAAUCAAUGGACUACACUAAAAUAAUUGAAAGACCAUCACCAUGAAUCUUUGUGAUGCUGCUCUUUCUUCUGAAAAAUUAAAUUGGUUUUCUGACAUACAUUCUGUGUACCUGUGUUAUUUUGCAUACAAAUUGCGUUUUUCUUGAGUCUAGAUUUUAUUUUCAUCAGCAUGUACAGUAUUUAAUUUUUUAUAUCAUAAAGGUGUUAGGUCUAGUACGGAUUGUUACUUUCUCCUUUCUUUCAUAAUACAGUUUUUUGUUGCACUGUGUGUAUAGUUAGAACAAAACUUGACAGUGCUUUUAUUGUUGGAAAUUCUCAUACAGGCACUGACUCCAGGGAGCUAGAACAUGUCCAGGGAAAGUUCCUACCAUAUGUUACAGCUGUUUCUUUAAGAAUUAUAUUUCAUGCAAUUGUAGUAAGUAUGUUUUGGAUAAUGUAAAAUUACACACCUUUUUGAUAGAGAUGGUGUUAUUUUGGGGCAUUAUUUACAAGGAAUUCACAAACAGUUUUUUGUUACCCACCAUUCACUUCUAUAAAUUCCUGGUAUCAGAAUUCCAGCCAGAAACAUGAGACCUAAUCCCGUACCUACUUCCUUUUGUCACAAAAUAAACAUCCUUCAACUUACUGCACCUUAAUGACAAAUUAAAUUUUUAACAGUGUCCAUUGUUUAACACCAAUCUUAUGGUAACAUUCCUAAUUGGUAGUUAUGGUAUUUUGUUGCAUUCAGUGUUCAUGUGAAGUUAUUCUUAUCCUGUGUCUACUGCAGAGUAGAAUGUUUUAUGUGAGAAUUUAUCCUAUGUAUGUGUAUUGUUCUCAUUUGCUUUUUGAUCAUGCGAUUGUGCUAACUUUGUAAUUGGCUCCUGUAUGUAGGUGUUGAGUUAGGAUGGAAAAAUAAAAAAUUUAAUUGUU